AUUUAUUUUAUCGGGGGCCGGUCGCAGAAUAGCUGGUACAAUAUUGUUUUCAGUUCAAUAGUUUACAAUAUACGUGACCACGUCGUUCGGGUUUCCCACGAGGCAAAUCAGAAUUCUCAAUGUUUUUUGAUUAGUUCAAUUUAUUCAGUAGCCAGUUGAGGCAACGACAAGUGGUGCUUUUUUUAAUAUUUUUUCUAAUACACAAGGAGUGAUAUAAAGUGCCUUUGUCUAUAUAUUUUAUUAAUACUUGUGAGUGCUAUAAACAGUAUGACAACUGCGAAUCUAGAAAAGGCUUUCGUAAUCCUCGCGAAAGCAACUGAAGAAGAUGACAAGAAGAACUAUGAAGAAUCAUUCCGAUAUUAUGUGCAAGGCAUAAUUUAUUUACUCCAUGUUACUAAAUAUGAAGCGAAGGGAGAUUUGAGCAAAGAGCACAUAAAGGAAAUUACUUCAGACUACAUAGAUAAAGCUAAGAAGGUCAAGGAGUAUCUUGAUGCAAAGAAGACUAAUGAGAGCGAAUAUUUGGAGGAUUUGGAAGAUCGAACCACAGAUAGUGUAGUCAAUGUUAUGGUUGAAUUAGUUUGUAUGUUUGGAGAUACUACGCCGACUCCGGUAACGGUUAAUGAAAAUAGCAGUGCAAAACACGAACAAUAAUUAAUUACCUAAAUGCUUCUAAGCUACGCUACGUGAUUUCUUUUUUCAUUAGAAGGGACAAAUAUAAGACAUAACAUAAAUAAAGGAUACAAUAAACAUCUUGACAACAUAAUGGAAAAUACUAGUAAUACUUUACAAAAAGCCAUUGAAAUCCUUAAUGAAGCUACAGAAGACGACAAGAAUAAAUACUACGAAGAUGCAUUACCCACAUACGUACAAGGUGUAAUUUUUUUACUUCACGUUGUUAAUCAUAAUGUUGAUAUCCCUACCGCUACCAUGAUAGCAAAAUCGAAGUCGUUAGCGUACAUGCAAAGAGCUAAAAAACUUAAGGACCACCUAGAAAAGCAUAAGAUAAUAACAGUGAAUAAAUACUUAGAUGAUUUGGAAACCAUUACUGACAGCGAUAUAGUCAACGUUUUGUUUGAAACAAUUUGUUUAUACAAAGAAUCUGAAGAAGAAUCAACGUCAGUUCCUAUAAACAUCUUGACAACAUAAUGGAACAUCCUAGUAUUACUUUACAAAAAGCUAUUGAAAUCCUUAUUGAAGCUGCAGAAGAUGACAAGAAUAAAUACUACGAAGAUGCAUUGCCCACAUACGUAAAAGGUGUAAUCGUUUUACUUCACGUCUUUAAUCAUAAUGUUGAUAACCCAACCGCAACCAUGGAAGCAAAAUCGAAAUCGUUAGCGUACAUGCAAAGAGCUAAAAAACUUAAGGACUUCCUAGAAAAGGAGAAGAUAUUAACAGUGAAUAAAUAUUUAGAUGAUUUGGAAACGAUUACUGACAGCGAUAUAGUCAACGUUUUGUUUGAAACAAUUUGUUUGUACAAAGACUCUGAAGAAGAAUCGUCGUCAGUUCCUGUAAGUGAAAGUAAUUCUAGCCUUCAUUAAAUACUUAUCCUUGUUGCUUUGUUUUUUUUUUAUCUCUUACCAAUCUCCAAACGAUACAAACUUCUUUCUAGACCUAGGUUUUCUUUCAUUUUUAAACCGAUUUAAACAAAAACGGGGAUGAAGUCGGUUUUUUUAAACAAUAGAAGAACUAUUUUCCUUGGAUGGAAAAGAAGAACUAUUUUCCUAAUCUUAUACUUAUUAGACCUACUUUUUGCUCAUAAUUUUCCAAAAGGUUCAAACGUUCAAU